rnacentral:misc_RNA from 1 species
UCAGCGGGGAAAUUGAACAGGGAGGCGGGGAGACAGGGAGUAUUUGAAGAUUUACCUCCCC